UACGAAGGGUGCAAGCGUUACUCGGAAUUACUGGGCGUAAAGGGUGCGUAGGUGGUUCUUUAAGUCUGCUGUGAAAGCCCCGGGCUCAACCUGGGAAUGGCAGUGGAUACUGGAGAGCUAGAGUGCGGUAGAGGGUAGUGGAAUUCCCGGUGUAGCAGUGAAAUGCGUAGAGAUCGGGAGGAACACCAGUGGCGAAGGCGGCUACCUGGACCAGCACUGACACUGAAGCACGAAAGCGUGGGUAGCAAACAGG
rnacentral:rRNA from 1 species